rnacentral:rRNA from 1 species
AUGAACGCUGGCGGCGUGCCUAACACAUGCAAGUCGAACGGAGUUAACGCUGAUGAGCUUCGGCAGAUCUGUAAACUAGUGGCGGACGGGUGAGUAACGCGUGGGUAACCUGCCUCAUACAGGGGGAUAGCAGUUGGAAACGACUGAUAACACCGCAUAAGCGCACAGUAUCGCAUGAUACAGUGUGAAAAAUAUUUAUAGGUAUGAGAUGGACCCGCGUCUGAUUAGCUAGUUGGUGAGGUAACGGCCCACCAAGGCGACGAUCAGUAGCCGGCCUGAGAGGGCGGACGGCCACAUUGGGACUGAGACACGGCCCAAACUCCUACGGGAGGCAGCAGUGGGGGAUAUUGCACAAUGGGCGAAAGCCUGAUGCAGCGACGCCGCCGUGAGUGAAGAAGUAUUUCGGUAUGUAAAGCUCUAUCAGCAGGGAAGAAAGACCUCGUAAGAGGGGAUGACGGUACCUGAGUAAGAAGCCCCGGCUAACUACGUGCCAGCCGCGGC